UGCCGCGUGUGCCCUGGAGGCGCGGGGCAGCGACGCUGUCAUUCCGGGGAGCCGAGGGGACUGCGGAGCGGCUGCCGCGUCCCCGGAGCGCGCGGAGGACCAGUGCCCGCGGCCCACCGGGAAACACGCUUUCACCAAAAAGAUGUAUUUUCCACCUGGAUUCAGCCUUUUCUGCAUGGAGCAUGCUGGACAAACCCAGCCCUGAACUGGCCAAGAUGCAGCUCUCAGAUAGCGAACCAUCCGUUGCACAUCAUGUCCUGGUCCAGCGCCCCAAGUGAGCACACCCAGCACUGACCAUUCCUGAGUGCCCAGGCCGUGGCUAGAGUGGUCAUACGCUGGCAGGGGUAAGACCAAGAGCUCAUUCUUGGAAGUGGUCAGAAGCGAGACUGUGAAUGAGCUCUGAGCCUCACUGUGCGUGAUCCAUUGUCCCAUCGAAUUUCACUUCAAAACACAAAUUCAAUGACAGGGGAACCUGGGUGGCUCAGUCGGUUAAGCGGCUACCUUCGGCUCAGGUCAUGAUCCCAGGGUCCUGGGAUCGAGCCCCGCAUUGGGCUCCCUGCUCAGUGGAGAGCCUGCUUCUCCCUCUGCCUCUGCCUGCUGCUCUGUAAAUAAACUAAAAAACAAAACAAAACCCCAAAACCCCACCAAAUUCAAUGAUAAAAUUAUUAAGAAUUUCCAAGAUGGCAGGGAGCCUCGGUGGUUCAGUUGGUAAGUGUGUGCCUUCCGCUCAGGUCAUGAUCCCAGGUCCCUGGGAUCGAGCCUUGCAUCAGGCUUCCCACUUCUCCCUCUUCCUCUGCCUCUCCCCCUGCUCGUGCUCUCUAAGAAAUACAAAAAAAAUCAUAAAAAAAACAAUCUUUUUUUUCUUUUUUAAAGAUUUUUUAUUUAUUUAUUUGAGAGAGAGACAGUGAGAGAGAGCAUGAGCGAGGAGAAGGUCAGAGAGAGAAGCAGACUCCCCGUGGAGCCGGAAGCCCGAUACGGGACUCGAUCCCAGUCCCGGGAUCAAGACCCGAGCCGAAGGCAGUCGUCCAACCAACUGAGCCACCCAGGCGUCCCUAAAAAAAAAAAAUCUUAAAGAAUUUCCAAGAUGGCAGAGAUAGAACAUUACAGCCCAAGUGCAGAGAACUUGAGCCUCAGCUCUGUGUAUGUCUAUUUUUUUUCUCGAUUUUGUAUUUUUUUCCAUAUAAAUCUUAAAAGCUCUUGCUACUUGAUUUAUGUAGUCAUUGUGAGUAAAAUUUUCCCAUUAUAUUUGCUAAGUGGCUAGUAACAAGACACAGAAAAGUCAUUUCGUGCAGUUGCUUUUGAUGGCUUUUCCUGGCAUUUUCUGUCUUACUGUUUUAGUUAAAUUUAAUGUUUCAGAAUCGGUUCUCUUGGGAUUUCUACACAAAAGAAUCACCUAUGACUUGAGUACUUAGCACUGCUAGUCACUGUUACAGGUCGUUUAAUCCUCAUGAGCCUUCGAAGCAGACACGACCAUGAUCCCAAGUCACAGACUAGGGAUGUGACACAUGAGAGACUUGCCCAAGGCCGGAGAGCUGAGAUCUAGGUGGCGGCCAAAAGUCAAAACCAGCACUGCGCCUCGAGUUCUCGUCCUCAGCCACCUGCUAGGACAUUUCUGUAUUGAUUACAUUCAGCUCCCUUUGCCUGGGGGGCUCCAUGCGGCAAGUGUCUACCUCCAGUUCAGGUCCUGACCCCAGGGUCCCGGGAUUGAGCCCUGCGUGGGCUCCCUGCUGAGCAGGGGGUGUGCUUCUCUUUCUCCCUCCUUCUCCCUCCACUCCUCCCUCUCUCGUGCUCUCUCAAACAAAAUCUUUUAAAAAAUAAAUAAGAUUAAGUCCAUGUUUA